rnacentral:rRNA from 1 species
UACGUAGGGGGCUAGCGUUGUCCGGAAUCAUUGGGCGUAAAGAGCGUGUAGGCGGCCCGGUAAGUCCGCUGUAAAAGUCAAAGGCUCAACCUUUGAAUGUCAGUGGAUACUGCCGGGCUAGAGUCCGGAAGAGGCGAGUGGAACUCCUGGUGUAGCGGUGGAAUGCGCAGAUAUCAGGAGGAACACCAAUUGCGAAGGCAGCUCGCUGGGACGUUACUGACGCUGAGACGCGAAAGCGUGGGGGAGCAAACAGG